GUGCUCGCUUUGGCAGCACAUAUACUAAAAUUGGAACGAUACAGAGAAGAUUAGCAUGGCCCCUGCGCAAUGAAAUAUUAUGACAAAAUAACUAAGAGUAAUAC